UGAUGUCACGCUUUUGAAGACGAGAAGU
rnacentral:piRNA from 1 species